rnacentral:rRNA from 1 species
GACGAACGCUGGCGGUAUGCUUAACACAUGCAAGUCGAACGAGGUUUACUUUCCAGUUGACUCUCGGGUCAACCUAGUAAACUGCAGUGGCGGACGGGUGCGUAACGCGUAAGAACUUACCUUUUGGUGGGGAUAACAGUGGGAAACUGCUGCUAAUACCCCAUAAUGCUGAGGAGCUAAAGGUGAAAACCACCAAGAGAGAGGCUUGCGUCUGAUUAGCUAGUUGGAGAAGGUAACGGCUUCCCAAGGCGACGAUCAGUAGCUGGUCUGAGAGGAUGAUCAGCCACACUGGGACUGAGACACGGCCCAGACUCCUACGGGAGGCUG